rnacentral:siRNA from 1 species
AUGUGCGGAUCGGGCUCCAAUACC